AGGGAAGUACAGGUGGCUCAUUUAGAAGCAGCCAUAGGUGAAAGGAGUGGCUGCCUGUACAUGGGCUGCCCUGUACUC
rnacentral:miRNA from 1 species